AACCUCCGCAAUGUGAGAAAUCGCGACGGGGGGAUCCCAAGUGCCAUUCUUAACGGGAUGGCUUUUCAUUAGUGUAAAGAGCUUUUGGAAUAAGGGCUGGGCAAGACCGGUGCCAGCCGCCGCGGUAACACCGGCAGCUCUAGUGGCAGCAGUUUUUAUUGGGCCUAAAGCGUCCGUAGCCGGUUUAAUAAGUCUCUGGUGAAAUCCUGUAGCUUAACUAUGGGGAUUGCUGGAGAUACUAUUAGACUUGAGACCGGGAGAGGUUAGAGGUACUCCCAGGGUAGAGGUGAAAUUCUGUAAUCCUGGGAGGACCGCCUGUUGCGAAGGCGUCUAACUGGAACGGUUCUGACGGUGAGGGACGAAAGUUAGGGGCGCGAACCGGAUUAGAUACCCGGGUAGUCCUAACUGUAAACGAUGCGGACUUGGUGUUGGGUGGCUUUGAGCUGCUCCAGUGCCGAAGGGAGCUGUUAAGUCCGCCGCCUGGGAAGUACGGUCGCAAGACUGAAACUUAAAGGAAUU
rnacentral:rRNA from 1 species